rnacentral:rRNA from 1 species
AGGAGUGACCAUAUCAAUGCUAAUGAAUGGGAUUCCAUCAGAACUCUGAAGAUAAGCGUGCUUGGGUGAGAAUGGUACUUAUUGAUAUGUCACAUAUGAUUUCUA